UUGUCUUCGGAAAAGAAUCCGUAAAAAAUCGAAAGAAUACCUUUAAGUUAACACGAAGUUAGCAAAAAUACGCGACGAAAAUACGUAGAAGCCUUAAAAUUGUAGAGUCGAGUGUCACGUACAGUACUUUAAAAAAUGUCUACGCAUUAAAUGUAACUUUACAUUCUUUCAGAUAAAAAAAAAGUGUCGAAGAUCGGUUUAUCCGGAAAAUUCGGAUGUGGAGAUAUCACGGGGAUGACGGAUUGACGGAUUAUUGGCCCAUCAAUCGUGCCGUCGUUGUCAGCAGCAGGGCCGGAGAACAAAUCACAAAGGAAUAGAUGCGCCAAGAAAGACAAAGUUUUGCAGUUACCACUAAGGCGGACGACUGCGAC